AGUUGAGUCAUUAGUGCCAUUUUUGUUCUUUCAAAGAAUUCUACUUGUGUCAAGCCAGAGGUGAUUCCAAGGACCUUCCAACUAAACCACAUGAUGAUGUCUGACAUGAUUACUGUAACAGAUGAGAUUUUUCAUUAGUGGGUGGCAUUCGAGUGCCACAUUCUUGUGUUUAGCUUCAGACAGGAAGAAAAAAAUCUAAUUAUUUAAUUUAUAGAAACUACAGAAGGUGACAAUUAUUUUUUUACUUCUCCCAUGCAGUGCUGUCUGUACAGAGCCAUUUGUACCCUUGGGAAGCAACAGUGCAAGAAAACAAGGGCUCAUCUUGCACACAGUCAGGGUGCUCCGUGGGCUGAAAAAACCUUUAUUCAAAGGCGAACUUUGGGUCAGAAGACACUGCAAGGCAAUCUGUCGUCACACUGCAAGGGCAUACUCAAGACCAGUGUUGAGACCAAAUAGUCAUACGAGAAGAAGCCUUUGAGAAGUAUUUUUAAAGCUUAUCUGAUUUCAGGAUUUAUAAUAUUUAAAUUUCCACUGAUGGUAAAUAUGCUUAUCAAUCCAGUUUUACUGUUUCAUAUUCUUAAUAUAGAUGUGCAUUAUGCUAUGAUUCUCACAUAGUAAGUAUGUGUGUAUGUGAAUAAAAGUGGCAAGUUAUAAGUUAUUUUGCAAGUACGGCACUCAGAGGUUAGGUUUUAACUUAUAAUAUUGAAAUACAGUACUCCAAUUAAAAAAUAUAUGUAUUUGCCUUUAAAUUCUUUAUCUUUUAGUUCUACUCAACUGAGAAGGAGUAUUGAGCAGCCCAGGCCUGAUUUUGAAAUCAAAGUCUGCCUUUUAACUUUCACUCUCCUAUUCAUACUUCCCUAUCCUCCACUACUCACCAAGAAUGACGGCUAUUUUCCAAAGUCCUGCACAGCCAACAUCCCACUAACAGAUUCAUAUAAGUAAUGAUAAUGAUGUAGUGAAAUCUAAGCUUCAUUUAUUUUGGUAAUUUUAAUAAUGAUAGUUCUUAAUGUUGUAGAUGUCAAGUUUGGCAUUUAGAUUGUGCUAAAUCAUAAGCUUUAAAUUCAGUGCUGUAUUUUAACUCUGCCAAAAGUGAAAGCAAGGCAGGUGGAUUGAGUGUCAUGAUUUGAAAAUUUAUACAAUGCUUUUGAGUGCCUGAGUACCUUCAGAUAGUGCUGAGUUCAACUUCUGAAACUCUUGCCUGUUUUUGACAUCUGAGAAUUAAACUAAAACCAAACUAGAA